rnacentral:rRNA from 1 species
AUGGGCAUGCGCUCAAAGGAUACAAACAGGGAUUCGCAAACAUAAAGGGGAAUUCAUAGUCACUUUUUCUUGUCGCGUAAAAAAAAGUCUUUACGCAAGAGCAAUAGAGGUUGGGAUACAUCUAUCUCUUCUGAGCAACCUCUUUUGGAUUCUUAUGACCACCCUUGCAGUAGGAUACCAUCUGCUUUGGGUUCUUUAUUAUCUCCUUCGAGGGAUUUUUAG